rnacentral:misc_RNA from 1 species
GCAGACGAAGCCGGCCAAAGGAAAGAGACGUAGCGAGACCAAAAGACGGAAGUGAGCUCACCCGGCAGGCUAUAAAGCAAGAGGAAGCGACCUCGGUUAGGCCCUUUGUUGUAAGUCAGCCCUUUUCGUAAUCGAAUCUGAGGACGGAUUCCGUGAUAUCCUAUAAUAAGUGACUUUAUCUUGCGACUAGUUGAGUUUACCUUGUCCUUCUCGUGAACAAGGAGAUCAAAAGCUAGCCCAAAAAGGCUUGGUCUUACAUCUGAUCCCGAACUCAGUAAGAAGGGCUCUGUAGAU